rnacentral:tRNA from 1 species
GGACCCUUAGCUCAGUUGGUUAGAGCUUACCGGCUCAUAACCGGUUGGUCGUAGGUUCGAGUCCUACAGGGUCCACCA